CUUAAUUCGAUGCAACGCGAAGAACCUUACCUGGUCUUGACAUCCACGGAAGUUUUCAGAGAUGAGAAUGUGCCUUCGGGAACCGUGAGACAGGUGCUGCAUGGCUGUCGUCAGCUCGUGUUGUGAAAUGUUGGGUUAAGUCCCGCAACGAGCGCAACCCUUAUCCUUUGUUGCCAGCGGUCCGGCCGGGAACUCAAAGGAGACUGCCAGUGAUAAACUGGAGGAAGGUGGGGAUGACGUCAAGUCAUCAUGGCCCUUACGACCAGGGCUACACACGUGCUACAAUGGCGCAUACAAAGAGAAGCGACCUCGCGAGAGCAAGCGGACCUCAUAAAGUGCGUCGUAGUCCGGAUUGGAGUCUGCAACUCGACUCCAUGAAGUCGGAAUCGCUAGUAAUCGUGGAUCAGAAUGCCA
rnacentral:rRNA from 1 species